GUCGCCGUAGCUCAGCAGGUCAGAGCGCGCUGUAUGGCGAGGUCGCAGGUUCAAAGCCUGCCGGUGGCC
rnacentral:tRNA from 1 species